GACGAACGCUGGCGGCGUGCUUAACACAUGCAAGUCGAACGGAAAGACCCUGCUUUUGUGUGGUGCUCGAGUGGCGAACGGGUGAGUAACACGUGAGUAACCUGCCCUUUACUUUGGGAUAACUUCAGGAAACUGGGGCUAAUACCGGAUAGGAGCUCCUGCUGCAUGGUGGGGGUUGGAAAGUUUCGGCGGUUGGGGAUGGACUCGCGGCUUAUCAGCUUGUUGGUGGGGUAGUGGCUUACCAAGGCUUUGACGGGUAGCCGGCCUGAGAGGGUGACCGGCCACAUUGGGACUGAGAUACGGCCCAGACUCCUACGGGAGGCAGCAGUGGGGAAUAUUGCACAAUGGGCGGAAGCCUGAUGCAGCAACGCCGCGUGCGGGAUGACGGCCUUCGGGUUGUAAACCGCUUUCGCCUGUGACGAAGCGUGAGUGACGGUAAUGGGUAAAGAAGCACCGGCUAACUACGUG
rnacentral:rRNA from 1 species